GGCGGCGUAGCUCAGUUUGGUUAGAGCGUGGGAUUCAUAAACCCAAGGUCGCAGGUUCGAUUCCUGCCGUCGCCA
rnacentral:tRNA from 1 species